rnacentral:lncRNA from 1 species
AUGCUUUAAAUUAUCGUGAUUUAAUGGCACCUGCCUUAUUCCAGGGCGCCGGCUCUGCUCUGCUGCUGGAAGCAGGCAGAGAGGCGGGUGCGGAUGCGGGCUGACCCCGGCUUCCCAGAAAUCCCCGGCUGCUCUGCUGUGCCUCUCUAUCUCCUGACUCCUAAACGAGCUCCUGCGGCACCGGUCACCCACUGCUCCAGAGGGAGGCAUGUCUUCAAAUGCACCGACCUGUGUAAACCUCUGAGGGAACAGAAGGCUGAAGGUGGUACUGAGUCUUGACUUGAGCAGGCACAUGGCAUCAAAAGGACAGUGAACAAACUGGGACGAGUGAUGCUGUUGUUGUGGGUAAACCAAAACUUCCGUGAGGUGAAGAUGAAUAUUUUCAGUUUUCCCAGAUGUACAGUCAUUCAAAAAAGCACAAAAGAAGAGCACUGAUUUGAGAUGAACGUGUUUUUCUAUAGAGACAGAUGGGUCUUGUUACACAAUUCCCUUUCAAAUGGAGGCUCCAGUGUGAGGACAUUUUGGGACCCUAGGUCCUUUGACAGGGAAAGAGAGUUCCUGAUCAGACCAGCAGGGACUCCCUGUUGCAUUCAAAUGUUGACUGUGGAAAAGCAAAGUGAGUGAACUUUUGUUUUGCUUGACUGAGCUUUACAGUGCCAGUUAUUGUUUUGAAAAGUGAAGAGAUACCUACUACAUCUCCUGGGAAAAUCAGCAGCAGCUUGCUUUGGAAGAGACUGCUAUUAUGGUGAAGUUCUCAGCUUAGCUCUCUAUUUUUUGCUUUAUGUAUUCACGUCCGCAUGAAUUUCCCCUGCAACAUCUUUGUGAUUAAAUGACUAGAAUAAAUGGUUUCAGAGCAUCUGGGAAUAGGCA